AUACAUGCAAGUCGAGCGAAUGGAUGGGAGCUUGCUCCCUGAAGUUAGCGGCGGACGGGUGAGUAACACGUGGGCAACCUGCCUGUAAGACUGGGAUAACUUCGGGAAACCGGAGCUAAUACCGGAUACGUUCUUUCCUCGCAUGAGGAAAGAUGGAAAGACGGUUUCGGCUGUCACUUACAGAUGGGCCCGCGGCGCAUUAGCUAGUUGGUGAGGUAAUGGCUCACCAAGGCCACGAUGCGUAGCCGACCUGAGAGGGUGAUCGGCCACACUGGGACUGAGACACGGCCCAGACUCCUACGGGAGGCAGCAGUAGGGAAUCUUCCGCAAUGGACGAAAGUCUGACGGAGCAACGCCGCGUGAGCGAAGAAGGCCUUCGGGUCGUAAAGCUCUGUUGUUAGGGAAGAACAAGUGCCAGAGUAACUGCUGGCACCUUGACGGUACCUAACCAGAAAGCCACGGCUAACUACGUGCCAGCAGCCGCGGUAAUACGUAGGUGGCAAGCGUUGUCCGGAAUUAUUGGGCGUAAAGCGCGCGCAGGUGGUUCCUUAAGUCUGAUGUGAAAGCCCACGGCUCAACCGUGGAGGGUCAUUGGAAACUGGGGGACUUGAGUGCAGAAGAGGAAAGUGGAAUUCCAAGUGUAGCGGUGAAAUGCGUAGAGAUUUGGAGGAACACCAGUGGCGAAGGCGACUUUCUGGUCUGUAACUGACACUGAGGCGCGAAAGCGUGGGGAGCAAACAGGA
rnacentral:rRNA from 2 species